UACGUAGGGUGCGAGCGUUGUCCGGAAUUAUUGGGCGUAAAGGGCUCGUAGGCGGUUUGUCGCGUCGGGAGUGAAAGCCCAGGGCUUAACUCUGGGCUUGCUUUCGAUACGGGCAGACUAGAGGUAUGCAGGGGAGAACGGAAUUCCUGGUGUAGCGGUGAAAUGCGCAGAUAUCAGGAGGAACACCUGUGGCGAAGGCGGUUCUCUGGGCAUUACCUGACGCUGAGGAGCGAAAGUGUGGGGAGCGAACAGG
rnacentral:rRNA from 1 species